UUACAAUGAGCAAAUUAAAGAAUCUUGUUUGUGAGGAAUUGAAGAAGAAGAAGAAGAAAGAAUGUCGUCAUCGUCUUCGAAAUCGAAAUCCUGGAUGUUCCUACUCAUCAAGCUGUUCAACUUCAAGUUCUUGAUCGUUAUGUAGUAUUGGACAAUGGCAUUGCUCGAGUGACAAUAUCAAAACCAGGAGGAAUUGUCACUGGAAUAGCUUAUAAUGGCAUUGACAAUCUUCUUGAAUCUCGAUAUGUUGAGGACAAUAGAGGUUAACUGUGUUAUGAAUGCCGAUAUUGGGAUCUUGUUUGGAAUGAUGAUACUACACCAGGGACAUUUACCACG